rnacentral:rRNA from 1 species
GCAAGCCUGAUCUAGCCAUGCCGCGUGAGUGAUGAAGGCCUUAGGGUCGUAAAGCUCUUUCGCCWGGGAWGAUAAUGACGGUACCUGGUAAAGAAACCCCGGCUAACUCCGUGCCAGCAGCCGCGGUAAUACGGAGGGGGUUAGCGUUGUUCGGAAUUACUGGGCGUAAAGCGCACGUAGGCGGAUUAKAAAGUCRGGGGUGAAAUCCCGGGGCUCAACCCCGGAACUGCCYCYRAAACUGCNGGUCUUGAGUUCGAGAGAGGUGAGUGGAAUUCCGAGUGUAGAGGUGAAAUUCGUAGAUAUUCGGAGGAACACCAGUGGCGAAGGCGGCUCACUGGCUCGAUACUGACGCUGAGGUGCGAAAGUGUGGGGAGCAAACAGGAUUAGAUACCCUGGUAGUCCACACCGUAAACGAUGAAUGCCAGUCGUCGGGCAGUAUACUGUUCGGUGACACACCUAACGGAUUAAGCAUUCCGCCUGGGGAGUACGGUCGCAAGAUUAAAAC